UGGGGAAUAUUGCACAAUGGGGGAAACCCUGAUGCAGCAACGCCGCGUGAGCGAAGAAGUAUUUCGGUAUGUAAAGCUCUAUCAGCAGGGAAGAAUUAGGACGGUACCUGACUAAGAAGCACCGGCUAAAUACGUGCCAGCAGCCGCGGUAAUACGUAUGGUGCAAGCGUUAUCCGGAUUUACUGGGUGUAAAGGGAGCGUAGACGGCUGUGUAAGUCUGAUGUGAAAACCCGGGGCUCAACCCCGGGACUGCAUUGGAAACUAUGCAGCUAGAGUGUCGGAGAGGUAAGCGGAAUUCCUAGUGUAGCGGUGAAAUGCGUAGAUAUUAGGAGGAACACCAGUGGCGAAGGCGGCUUACUGGACGAUCACUGACGUUGAGGCUCGAAAGCGUGGGGAGCAAACAG
rnacentral:rRNA from 1 species